CCCUGGUGGUUCAGAUGGGAAAGAAUCUGCCUGCGAUGCAGGAGGCCCAGGUUCGAUUCCUGGAUCCGGAA
rnacentral:tRNA from 1 species